UACGUAGGCAGCGAGCGUUGUUCGGAGUUACUGGGCGUAAAGGGUGUGUAGGCGGUUCUUUAAGUUUGGUGUGAAAUCUCCCGGCUCAACCGGGAGGGUGCGCCGAAUACUGAGGGACUAGAGUGCGGGAGAGGAAAGUGGAAUUCCUGGUGUAGCGGUGAAAUGCGUAGAUAUCAGGAAGAACACCCGUGGCGAAGGCGGCUCUCUGGGACGGUACUGACGCUGAGACGCGAAAGCGUGGGGAGCGAACAGG
rnacentral:rRNA from 1 species